rnacentral:rRNA from 1 species
CCUACGGGGGGCAGCAGUGGGGAAUAUUGGACAAUGGGCGAAAGCCUGAUCCAGCAAUACCGCGUGUGUGAUGAAGGCCUGCGGGUUGUAAAACACUUUCGUUGGGGAAGAAAUGCUCAAAGUUAAUACCUUUGAGAGUUGACGUUACCCAAAGAAGAAGCACCGGCUAACUCUGUGCCAGCAGCCGCGGUAAUACAGAGGGUGCAAGCGUUAAUCGGAGUUACUGGGCGUAAAGGGCGCGUAGGUGGAUAUUUAAGUCGGAUGUGAAAUCCCCGGGCUUAACCUGGGAAUUGCAUUCGAUACUGGAUAUCUCGAGUAUGGUAGAGGAAAGCGGAAUUCCCGGUGUAGCGGUGAAAUGCGUAGAUAUCGGGAAGAACAUCAGGGCGAAGGCGGCUUUCUGGACCAAUGCUGACACUGAGGCGCGAAAGCGUGGGGAGCAAACAGGAUUAGAUACCCGGGUAGUC